AACCUUACCCGGAAGGGUAGAUACCGUGAUCAAAGGUGCUUUUACCAGGGUGAGGCUUAUCUAUUUCAGUCAGGAUGUGCAGACCCAUGUGAUGUCCCCAAAUGUGGGAAACUGGACUACAUAAUUCAUGGUUGUGGGGACUGCGUUCCUGCUCUGCCCCAG